AGAGUUUGAUCCUGGCUCAGAAUCAACGCUGGCGGCGUGCCUCAGACAUGCAAGUCGAACGAUUAAAGCUCUCUUCGGAGAGUGCAUAGAGUGGCGCACGGGUGAGUAACACGUAAGUAAUCUACCCUCGAGUGGGGAAUAACGUCCGGAAACGGGCGCUAAUACCGCAUAAUGCAGCGGCAUCAUAAGAUGACAGUUGUUAAAGAUUUAUCGCUUGAGGAGGAGCUUGCGGCAGAUUAGCUAGUUGGUAAGGUAACGGCUUACCAAGGCUACGAUCUGUAACCGGUCUUAGAGGACGGUCGGUCACACUGACACUGAAUAACGGGUCAGACUCCUACGGGAGGCAGCAGUCGGGAAUUUUGGGCAAUGGGCGAAAGCCUGACCCAGCAACGCCGCGUGAAGGAUGAAGUAUUUCGGUAUGUAAACUUCGAAAGAAUAGGAAGAAUUAAUGACGGUACUAUUUAUAAGGUCCGGCUAACUACGUGCCAGCAGCCGCGGUAAUACGUAGGGACCAAGCGUUGUUCGGAUUUACUGGGCGUAAAGGGCGCGUAGGCGGCAUGACAAGUCACUCGUGAAAUCUCCGGGCUUAACUCGGAACGGCCAAGUGAUACUGUCACGCUAGAGUAUUGGAGGGGCAAUCGGAAUUCUUGGUGUAGCGGUGAAAUGCGUAGAUAUCAAGAGGAACACCUGAGGUGAAGACGGGUUGCUGGCCAAAUACUGACGCUGAGGCGCGAAAGCCAGGGGAGCAAACGGGAUUAGAUACCCCGGUAGUCCUGGCCCUAAACGAUGAAUACUUGGUG
rnacentral:rRNA from 1 species